UUCAGUUAUGCUUGAACCAUUAAUUGCGAUUAUUCACUCAACAGUCUCAACCAUUUCACUUCCAUCCCUAUAUAUAUGUCAUAACAAUCUUGCUGUCAUUCACUAUUUUUUCAUUUUGUAUACUUAGUUUUUUCCCAGCAAUCUACGAAGCACAGUAACAAGAUGAAGAUGAAUCGGAAAUCAUUAGAAAAAAGUCCCGGGACUUUUAAAAAAAUCGACCAUCUUUCUGAAAACUUAGACUUGACUGAGAAUGAGAGACUUGCCCUGGAACUGGAAUGGAUCUUAAACAAUAUUCAAACUCAUCCAAAGGAAGUUAUGGACUUGGUAAGGGCUCAUACAAACACAAAAGUGUGUUCUGAGGCGCACAAGCAACACACAGGAGAGCACGAAAAGUGCCGACGAGGUCUACGUCGUCAUCGUCGUACUAAUUGAUUUGCAAUACAAACUUCAACCAAGGCAAUCAAUUUUGUACUAAUCACUAUAUGCCCGAGUUCUUGGAUAAUCCUUGUAUCCCGAUGAUUUUUCCUUUAGCUUUUUGUUUUCUCAAGACUUCUUUUCUGUUGUAAUCUUUUGGAUUGGUAUUAAUAAUUUCUGUUGUAAUCUUUUGGAUUUGGUAUUAAUAAAAUUUGUUUGUU